AUUGAACGCUGGCGGCAGGCUUAACACAUGCAAGUCGAGCGGAGAUGAGGUGCUUGCACCUUAUCUUAGCGGCGGACGGGUGAGUAAUGCUUAGGAAUCUGCCUAUUAGUGGGGGACAACAUUCCGAAAGGAAUGCUAAUACCGCAUACGUCCUACGGGAGAAAGCAGGGGAUCUUCGGACCUUGCGCUAAUAGAUGAGCCUAAGUCGGAUUAGCUAGUUGGUGGGGUAAAGGCCUACCAAGGCGACGAUCUGUAGCGGGUCUGAGAGGAGGACACGCCACACUGGUAAUGAGAGACGGCCCAGACUCCUACGGGAGGCAGCAGUGGGGAAUAUUGGACAAUGGGGGGAACCCUGAUCCAGCCAUGCCGCGUGUGUGAAGAAGGCCUUAUGGUUGUAAAGCACUUUAAGCGAGGAGGAGGCUACUGAGACUAAUACUCUUGGAUAGUGGACGUUACUCGCAGAAUAAGCACCGGCUAACUCUGUGCCAGCCGCCGCCGUAAUAC
rnacentral:rRNA from 1 species